AACGAACGCUGGCGGCAGGCCUAACACAUGCAAGUCGAGCGAAGCCUUCGGGCUUAGCGGCGGACGGGUGAGUAACGCGUGGGAACGUGCCCUUUGGUACGGAAUAGCCCCGGGAAACUGGGAGUAAUGCCGUAUGUGGUCGAGAGACGAAAGAUUUAUCGCCAAAGGAUCGGCCCGCGUUGGAUUAGGUAGUUGGUGGGGUAAUGGCCUACCAAGCCGACGAUCCAUAGCUGGUUUGAGAGGAUGAUCAGCCACACUGGACUGAGACACGGCCCAGACUCCUACGGGAGGCAGCAGUGGGGAAUCUUAGACAAUGGGGGAAACCCUGAUCUAGCCAUGCCGCGUGAUCGAUGAAGGCCUUAGGGUUGUAAAGAUCUUUCAGUGGGGAAGAUAAUGACUGUACCCACAGAAGAAGCCCCGGCUAACUCCGUGCCAGCCGCCGCCGUAAGAC
rnacentral:rRNA from 1 species